AAGCGGAGGAGCAUGUGGUUUAAUUCGAUGCAACGCGAAGAACCUUACCUGGUCUUGACAUCCCGGAGACCCUUAGGAAACUAGGGGGUGCUUCCAUCUGGAAGAAUCUGGAGACAGGUGCUGCAUGGCUGUCGUCAGCUCGUGUCGUGAGAUGUUGGGUUAAGUCCCGCAACGAGCGCAACCCUUGCCUUUAGUUGCCAGCAGUUCGGCUGGGCACUCUAAAGGGACUGCCGGUGUUAAACCGGAGGAAGGUGGGGAUGACGUCAAGUCCUCAUGGCCUUUAUGACCAGGGCUACACACGUACUACAAUGGCCGAUACAAAGGGCAGCGACACUGCGAGGUGAAGCCAAUCCCGUAAAAUCGGUCUCAGUCCGGAUUGGAGUCUGCAACUCGACUCCAUGAAGUUGGAAUCGCUAGUAAUCGUGGAUCAGCAUGCCACGGUGAAUACGUUCCCGGGCCUU
rnacentral:rRNA from 1 species